rnacentral:lncRNA from 10 species
UCCUCUGUGUGCUAGGAGGAUGCCAAGCAAGCUUCCCAGCCUGGAACUGGGAGAUAAUAGUAAUUAAUGGAGCCAGUUUGGGUGAGGAACCUCAGCUUGUGAGGGUUUGUGCCUGUUCCCCCACUGAUCCUCAGAUUCCUCUCUCUCCACUCCACCAGUGCCUGGUCCAGCUCUCCCUGCGUGCUGACACUGGGCUCCUCCCCAGACACGUCUUU